rnacentral:rRNA from 1 species
GACGAACGCUGGCGGCGUGCUUAACACAUGCAAGUCGAACGGAAAGGCCCUGCUUUUGUGGGGUGCUCGAGUGGCGAACGGGUGAGUAACACGUGAGUAACCUGCCCUUGACUUUGGGAUAACUUCAGGAAACUGGGGCUAAUACCGGAUAGGAGCUCCUGCUGAAUGGUGGGGGUUGGAAAGUUUCGGCGGUUGGGGAUGGACUCGCGGCUUAUCAGCUUGUUGGUGGGGUAGUGGCUUACCAAGGCUUUGACGGGUAGCCGGCCUGAGAGGGUGACCGGCCACAUUGGGACUGAGAUACGGCCCAGACUCCUACGGGAGGCAGCAGUGGGGAAUAUUGCACAAUGGGCGGAAGCCUGAUGCAGCAACGCCGCGUGCGGGAUGACGGCCUUCGGGUUGUAAACCGCUUUCGCCUGUGACGAAGCGUGAGUGACGGUAAUGUGUAAAGAAGCACCGGCUAACUACGUG